rnacentral:rRNA from 1 species
CUCAGUAACACGUGGAUAACCUACCCUUAGGACCGGAAUAACCCCGGGAAACUGGGGAUAAUACCGGAUAAGCCAUAGACGCUGGAAUGCCCUAUGGUUCAAAGCUCCGGCGCCUAAGGAUGGAUCUGCGGUCUAUCAGGUUGUAGUGGGUGUAACGUACCUACUAGCCGACGACGGAUACGGGUUGUGAGAGCAAGAGCCCGGAGAUGGAUUCUGAGACACGAAUCCAGGCCCUACGGGGUGCAGCAGGCGCGAACACUUUACAAUGCAGGAAACCGCGAUAAGGGAACCCCGAGUGCCAGCAUCAAAUGUUGGCUGUCCAGAUGAUUAAAAAUCAUUUGUUAGCAAGGGCCGGGCAAGACCGGUGCCAGCCGCCGCGGUAACACCGGCGGCCCGAGUGGUAGCCGUUUUUAUUGGGUCUAAAGGGUCCGUAGCCGGCCUGAUAAGUCCUUUGGGAAAUCUGGCAGCUUAACUGUCAGGCUUCUAAGGGAUACUGUCAGGCUUGGGACCGGAAGAGGUAAGGGGUACUCCAGGGGUAGGAGUGAAAUCUUGUAAUCCCUGGCGGACCAUCUGUGGCGAAGGCGCCUUACCAGAACGGGUCCGACGGUGAGGGACGAAAGCUAGGGGAGCAAACCGGAUUAGAUACCCGGGUAGUCCUAGCUGUAAACGAUGCUCGCUAGGUGUCAGACACGGUGCGACCGUGUUUGGUGCCGCAGGGAAGCCGUUAAGCGAGCCACCUGGGAAGUACGGUCGCAAGGCUGAAACUAAAG